rnacentral:lncRNA from 1 species
UAAGGAUUUGGAGCUACAUAUGGGCACCUAAUAUACCUGAAAUUAAGGACAUUUCAGGAGGAGCCUAAGACUCAGAAGAUAAAGGAGCUUAAACCGAGACACAUGGAAUUGUAUCCUGCACUGGAGUGGAUUGGAUUAGUUGCUUGCAGUUACUUUAUCAGCAGUAUAUCAGCCUUCUAGGACUUGGUUCAUAUGACAGCAUUGCAAAAGUUGAGAAGGCGCUAUAAUUAUUUUGCAGUUGACGUCAAGUGAGUUCAUAAAGAUUUUAUGGACCUUAUCAUCUAUUGAAGAUUUUGGAUCAUCAAGAGAAAACAGUUCGGGGAAUGUCGACCGUGUUUGUCCGAGUUCGUUGGGAGGGAGAUAAGACUCAGGAGGAGACCUGAAAGGCCGAGCGAGGAUUAGUAUUCGAGGUUUUGGAGGUUUUGCUACGAUAACAUUGGGCAUGUCAGCUUAUGACUUGAAUUCGGGGACGAAUUCCUUAUAAGUGGGGGAGAAUUGUAAU